UUGUGGCUGCGAGUUAUUGCUAUCCUUUUUUUUUGAAUUUCAAAAGUUGGCCGAUUGUACACGUACCGUUGAGAGAUUACAGUCACAUCUACGUCGUUUUAAAAAUACCUCCGUCAACAAUGUUCAAAAUCAAAAGUAAAGUGUCUAUGUAGAAGACUUUGAAUUAUAUUGACCAGCACGAUGGGCACCGUUGUGUCAACUUUAGUAGGCGAUAUUGCACAAGAUCGCUCCAGCCGACUCGAUGGAUCCCGCGUCAUCCCAACCAACGACGUCAUGUUCAAUUUGACCGAAAUUUCCUGCUACUGCAACGAAGAACUGACUCAUGUGUAGCAGCAGCUUAAAUUAACAUUGACGACACCUAGCUAUUUUUAGGAUGCGACAUACACACAGUGUAUAGCCAGCCACCAACAGCCCUGUAUAUAAAGCGAGAGACAUGGUGCUGGUACUCGGUGUAUUUGCUAUCGGACCUUUGGAAGCGAACGCUGUAGCGUUCUAAAUUACAACAAUUUAAUAAGUGGGAGUGGUGGCCACUGUCGUGACUGCAGGAGCAGCUGCCCCAGUGGCCGGCUCAGCAUUAAGUGGGAUUGCAUCGGGCGUUGGCGUAGGAGCAGCAACAGCCACAAGUGCCACAGCGGCCGUUGCUGGAUCGGCUGGAGCCGGAGCUGCUGCGGGUGCCAUUACUGGAGCUAUCGCCGGAGUAAGUGGCUCAGCCGCUGCUACGGGUGCGGCCGUUGGAUCGGCCUCGGCAGCAGCAGUAGCAUCUUCAAGCGCUGGUGCCGCCGGUUUAACAACCGCGGGGAUCGCAAGCGGCCCAGUCGGCUGGAUCAUACUCGGCGCUGAACCUCACAGCAGCAACCAGCACCCAGUUGCAGCAGCAGGCGCCACAUUCGACUGCUGGAAGCCGGUGGUACGAGACCAGUCGACCCAACUGUCAAACGGGAAACCCUUGAAUGACAUUUUCGAGGAUCAGCGCAUCAAGGAAAUUAUCGUUCGAGAGACGGACAACAAGUUCAACCUCCCCGAAAUAAGUCUGGUCAACAUUUGGGGCGAGCAAUUCGACAUCAAUUAUUUCGUUUUGCCCUAUAAUAACCAACUGGUGGCUCACGCCGUCCGUGUGGCGUAAACAACAUUCUUAUUGCAUCGCGGCCUAGCCGGAAUUCCCCCAGCAGUUAUGACGGUAUUAAUGUCUCAAAUCAUGGCAGCUGUUCACAGCGUUUUUGGUGGGAGCGGUUUGAUGGCGGGAGCAACUGUAGGAUUGGCGAUCAGCAUUUGUGGACAGCUGAUCAAGAAAGGCGCCAUGACAUCAGUGGCCGGGGCCGCGGGAUCCAGUGCCUCGGCUGGAGCGAUUUUAGGCUCCAUCGUUGGCGGUGACGUCACCAGCGCCUUUGCCGGAAGCACAGCUGGAGCCCUUUCCAGUGCCAUUGCCACUUAUCUCUUGUCUCAUGUCUAAUUGGCUUAUUAUACUUUGACUUGUUAUCAUCGGCAUUUCAUUGGCAUUGAACUGUAGUUGACUGUGAACUGUAACACUGUAGUAUAGAUGAAACAAUUGUGAAUGUAGUACCAAAUAUUGCAUAUACCGCUUCAUGUUUUCAACAGACAUUGACAACUUUUGUGUGGACGAGCCUUUUGUCAAAAUAUAUAACUAUUGCAUCAUU
rnacentral:misc_RNA from 1 species